UCCUCUCAAGGAAUCUAACAGAAUUACUGGUGCACUGUCUUCAACUGUCCUCCAAGAGAAGAAAAGAAUCUGAAAGAAAGCUAGCAACAACAGAGAAUUGUUUCUUGAAUAUGGGAAAAUUUUAAUUCUCCCUGACCUGAGCCUUCACAGUCAGGGCAUUUUCAUAAGGGCAUAGAAGAUCAAUUUUAAAAUAAGGUAAUUUUGUUAUUUUAUCUCUUCCUAAACAGAAGUCAGACAAAAAUUAUAAUGUUGAGAAACAAAGAUCUUUGUUUCAUGUACUUAAAAUAGAUAAAUAAAUACUUAUUAAAAUUCUGAAAAUAUCUGAAUAUUUAGCACUGGUUAGACGCUUAAUUCUGUUUGUCAUUUUGGCUGUAAAUCAAAAUUGAUAAAGAAUUUUGAAGUGUGAUGUUGGCUGUAUUUAUCACAGAAGUUUAAUAUACCUGCAAUAGUAUUUGUAAAAAUAAUGGUUUCAGGUAUCUAAGGAGUAAUUCUGUGUUCUUGUUUCUUGCUGUAGGGCUGAGCUGUCCAUCUUUUCCUCAGCAGAAGGUUAGGAUGUACAUGAGGUCCUGAUCCUGCAAACAUUUAAACAUGCUUAACUUCAUGGAUUGUCCCACUGAAAUCAAUGGGACUGCUUGUGAUAGUGAAGUUAAGCAUGUGUAUAAGUGUUUGAAGGAUUGGGGCUUUACCAAUCCCAACAGAGUAUUCUCAGUGUACAUGCUGCUACUGAACAUUGCAGGGAAA